rnacentral:rRNA from 1 species
GAUGAACGCUGGCGGCGUGCCUAAUACAUGCAAGUCGAGCGAACAGACGAGGAGCUUUCUCCUCUGACGUUAGCGGCGGACGGGUGAGUAACACGUGGAUAACCUACCUAUAAGACUGGGAUAACUUCGGGAAACCGGAGCUAAUACCGGAUAAUAUAUUGAACCGCAUGGUUCAAUAGUGAAAGACGGUUUUGCUGUCACUUAUAGAUGGAUCCGCGCCGCAUUAGCUAGUUGGUAAGGUAACGGCUUACCAAGGCAACGAUGCGUAGCCGACCUGAGCGGGGGAUCGGCCACGCUGGAACUGAGACACGGUCCAGACUCCUACGGGAGGCAGCAGUAGGGAAUCGUCCGCAAUGGGCGAAAGCUUGACGGAGCAACGCCGCGUGAGUGAUGAAGGUCUUCGGAUCGUAAAACUCUGUUAUUAGGGAAGAAAAAAUGUGUAAGUAACUAUGCACGUCUUGACGGUACCUAAUCAGAAAGCCACGGCUAACUACGUG